UGGGUAGUAGGUGACUUUGAAGAGAAUUU
rnacentral:piRNA from 1 species